GAUGAACGCUGGCGGCGUGCCUAAUACAUGCAAGUCGAGCGAACGGACGAGAAGCUUGCUUCUCUGAUGUUAGCGGCGGACGGGUAAGUAACACGUGGAUAACCUACCUAUAAGACUGGGAUAACUUCGGGAAACCGGAGCUAAUACCGGAUAAUAUUUUGAACCGCAUGGUUCAAAAGUGAAAGACGGUCUUGCUGUCACUUAUAGAUGGAUCCGCGCUGCAUUAGCUAGUUGGUAGGGUAACGGCUUACCAAGGCAACGAUGCAUAGCCGACCUGAGAGGGUGAUCGGCCACACUGGAACUGAGACACGGUCCAGACUCCUACGGGAGGCAGCAGUAGGGAAUCUUCCGCAAUGGGCGAAAGCCUGACGGAGCAACGCCGCGUGAGUGAUGAAGGUCUUCGGAUCGUAAAACUCUGUUAUUAGGGAAGAACAUAUGUGUAAGUAACUGUGCACAUCUUGACGGUACCUAAUCAGAAAGCCACGGCUAACUACGUG
rnacentral:rRNA from 1 species